GUUUAACUCCAUCUACUCCGUACCCGUGCUUGGUCUAAAGGAAGAGAGACCAACAAAUUUGGCGUCACGAACAGGAUUUUUUCUUUUUGAAGAAAAAGGAGUUUUUGGAGGACAAUUUGACCAACCGACCCAGCGAACAGAUCUUGGCACAGAACACCGCGGUGGAAAACAAGGUGAGCAGAGCCUAUUAUCUAAAAUCUGCUCAUUGGAUUUAUCCAAAGCCUUUGUGUCCAGAAUCAUAGUAGCUGAGGUCCUAAAAUAAUAGUUGGAGAAGAAAGUGGAGACAAGUGCAGAAAGAAUAAGAGAUUUUUUGUAAUGGUUUAAUGGUGAAAUGAAAUGAGGAUUUUUCUAAUGGUUUAAUGAGUAAAUGAGAAAAGGAAAUAGUACAGAUGAAGGGAUGGUGACCCAGGGCUAAUAGAGUAGCCCUAAAGUUCCAUUUCCAGGUCGUGGCUGACCACACUAUUUGCUGACGAGCGGAUAGAAUAUAUAACAAGGUUAUAUAAAGCUUGGCUGGAUCCAUAGGUGUGGGAACCCUAAAAGUCCACAGGUCAAGGACCUGGUUUUUUGUGUUAAGGGAAGGGGAGGCUAAAAGAGAGCUCCCUGGAUUUUUAAGGUCAAGGACCUUUUGCAUGAGAUGAGAAAAAUGUUCUGAGGUAACUGUUUUUGCAUAAGAUGAUAAAUGUUUUGACUGCUUCUGUGUGAAGAGAGCAGUGCUUUUGGCUAUUUCUGCGUGCUUUUGGCUGUUUUUGCAUAAAAUGAGCAAUGUUUAAAUAUGACAAGCAGCCCAGUUGAAGCCACGAGAAAUGAGGUUUUAUUGAGAAAGUCAGCAGAAAAGGCGAUGAAGGAAAAGGGGUAGAUGUUAACAGUAGAGGUAACUGGAGCAAGAUUUGGGAAGUGAAGGCUGCAGAAUCAAGAGGAAAAAGGCACAGCUGUAGACAAGCUUCACUGUGUGUGUAAGCUGAGUUCAGCCUGUGUGUGUGAGGCGCAGCAAGAGGCUGCUUACGGCUCUGGAUUGAAAGUGCAGCACUAGGAGAGUGCAGAAUGCAGAGCAGAGUUUUGGGAGCUCCGUGUGUGUGUGUGUGUGAGUGUACAGCGCUGGGUGUGUGUGUGAAGGCCUGAUGCGGUACCAGAAAAUAAAUAAAUAAGAUAAAUAAGAGCUUUAAAAAGUUGCAACUCGUCUAUGUAAAUUACACUGCAGUGCUAAAAUUAAUGUUUGGAGCUACGCAAAAUUCAAAUUCUGCAACCCUGUUCUGAUCAGUCUUUGAACAGAACACCAUAAGUUAAUAAAUAAAAGGUUUUUAAAGUAACAUAUGCAUAUGUAUGUGUGUAUGUAUGUAUAUGUGUAUACAUAUAUACAUAUGUAGUGUAGAAGCGUGAUAAUCAUUUGUGUGUGGGGCAGCAUGUGAGUGACCCCGAUCUGGGGGUUAAGUGACCUGGAGAUGAAAAAAGGGAAAAAACCACCAAGAAACGCAAGUAAGGAUGUAAAUGACAGCUUUAUUUUAGAAAUAUAGUCAUAUAGCUGCUAAACAGUAAAAUCAAAACAGAUCUGCAGAAAAUAAAUAUAUAAACUAUUCCUCAGAGCGCUCUCAAAGAAAUUGCAAUUGGAUUUGCGCUAAUGUUACAUAAGGCCUGCUUAAAAGCAUAGUACGCAUUAAAUUCUGAAAAUAACCAGUGCAGUGUUAAAAUAAAUUCUGUGCUUAAAAUAUUAUAUAUAUAUAGAGAGAGAAUAAAUAAGUGACGAACUGACUUACUUUAAAAAAAAAAAAAGACUGUGACAAACAAAGAAUGUCGUCUGUGCCAUGUGAAUGAGUGGAUGCGUGUCUUCUUGCAUGAGCUGCUUUCGCUGGAUCUUCUGAAUGACUCAGUUUUUAAUAGAGGGAGCAGCUGCUUGAGAAACAGGGUGCGGUCCAUGUUUUUGCUAGACGGUUAUUUAGUUCAAGAGACUGUGGAAACAAUAGAAAAAGAAUUUAUCGUUAGUGUGAGGACAAGAAAAUCCCUUAAAAUACAAAAGUUGUAUGGUCGUGGUUAUAAAGGAAGUAUUUUGUCUGAUUAUGGGCCGUGGAGUCAGCUGGACUCCCUCGCUCUCACAGUUUUUCUGUGUAACAUGCAGUUUUAAGCAAUUUGUGACUUUAGAAAGGAUAUUUUUCGGUGUUUUGGACGUACCUUAAGGCUUCUGGUUAGGGUAUUCAGGAGAUCCUUCCUCUCGGACAGAUCUAGUGAGAAUGACUGGAGUUUCAGCCUGGGGACCUGACUCCACCCACUUUUACACACAGGAGUCCCGCAGUCUAAAAAUAGCACAGGGCGCUGCGAAAAGCAGCUCUGAACCUCUCAGGAUCAUCUUUAUGAAAACCAUAAAAUUAACAAAUAAUCAGUCAGGAAAUAAAAUAUUUGUUAAAUCUUGCUAUAAAACAAAAUCCAAUAAUUGUCUUACCUCAACUUUAAGAACCAUUAACGUUAAUGGCUGGAUUUUGGGACGCUGAAUAAUGAAAAAACAGAUAAACUAAGUAUUAUUUCCUGUAACCUGGCUAGAAACUGUACUAGGCUGUUUUGAGUUAAAAACUGGUAGUUAUUUUCCCAAAAUAAAAUAGAUAAACAAAAAAUGAAAGGAGGGAUCUUGCAUUUGGGAUAGAUUGUGCCUAAAGUUUAAAACCUGUGUAGAACUGAUUUGACGAUUCAGAAAAAUUGUGCAUAGGAAGUAGUCUAGAUUUACCUUUGAGUCAAUAAAGUCGACUAAAUAUUAGAAACCAUCGUUGAUUUUGAUUUGUAAAAGAGAAAGUUCUGUCAUUUUAACUCAAUCAACAUAUUUAAGGAAAACGUUUACUGUGCAUUGUGGCAGGCAUGAACUUUACUGGGUGGGCCUGUCACAACCAGCUGCAAAGAAUGUUUGGGUCUGACUUCUAUACAAAGAGAACCUGGAAGCCCUCACCAAAAACUGUGACUCAUAACAUCAAGACGGGGAGCACUACAAGAUGGACAAAGAGGCAGAAACUUAUUUGCCCUGCUGCUGAUGAAACAAAGUACAAAAGGGGGAGCAUGUGUGCUAACAUGUGAACUUUAAUCAAUGACGGUGGUCAUCCUGGACUUACAAAGAGAGGCUCAAAAGAGACUGUUUCCUAUGGUUACACCCAGUAAAAGAGUGCUUGCUGCAGUCAGGUAAUGAACAAGGCUUUUUGGCAACAACCAGUUGAAUUGAUGAAAUGUCAGAACUGUGGAAAAUUUACUAAACUACUGUAGAACAUAGUUAACUGAGAAAGUUAGCCUAAAAAAGAUAAUAAUAAUAUCAAUAAAUAAAUAAAUAAUAGGAUUAGUAACCUGGAUUUCAGCCCAACUCAUCAUUGGACGUCAAUAUAAUCUUUAUUGUCUUAGGAUUCUCAGCUGCAGCGGACAUGCAGUAAAGCCUUAUUUUCUUUUCAAAACGGAAUACAUCAGCGUCAUCACUUAUUUUCAUUGGUUAAGGAAACGGUGUCUAUUUAUAAGUCUAGGAGAACGCUUUAGGCUUCAACAGUUCUCUCCUUCGAGUAAACAUGCGCAAAUUUCCGGACAGUUUAUAGUAACGUUCCAUCCCAUUCCAUUCAUUGCAUAAAAAUAAACAUUAAAUGAAUAAUUUGGCAUUCAGCUGACUAAAUGAUUCAUGGAACAUCUCAUCCGAGACAACAGUGUUGUUUCAGCUCCGUUGAGUUUCCCAACAGAUCUAGCCAAACCUAGCUGAUCCUAUAUUUUUCUAUCAGCUGUAAGUUCUAACGUAGAAAAUAAUGUCACAAAAAUAUUGAAUAAUUGUACCCCUCAUUCGAUAAAAAUUAUGUUCACAUUUUUAUCUUGUGAAAUCUUUAACAUAAUAUUUUUAAUUGGCCUUUUUGACGACAAUUGGCUAAAAAGUCUUUAAGAUUAUCAUCACAGGAUGGCAUGAUAAAUAAAUAAAUAACAUAAAUAAAUAAAUAGAUAAAAAUAAGAGAGAAAAAGCAAAAUUAAUUAAAUGAAACGUAAUAGUCAUAAAACGUUAAAUUGAUCUAAAAUCUGUCAUUCAGCGCCACUGGAAAAAGGAAGAGGAUAGGGGAGUAUUUCUUAGCACAAAUCACGUUAUUGAUUUAGCAAUGCAGCUUAAUUUCAGAUGCUUUAAGGAUGAUACUAACUUGUGUUAUAGAUGGAGGAGUAGCACAGAAACACUUCUAGAUGAGGAGAUAAGGAAAAAAACUGCUGAUUACCAAUACUAUGCACAAACAAACCUGUAACUGCAGUUUCGUUAUUUAUGAAUUAACCUUAAGUAGUGAAUUAAUUCUUAGGAUUUCUUGUGCGAGUAGUGUUCCUAAAAAAGAAAGAAAGAAAGAAAGAAAGAAGGUAAGAAAGACAGGUAGUUUAGGUAAGGGACAACCUGAAACUAUUUGGUUGAAUUGAUAGUAAAAGUGGUUGUCCUAAUUUUUAAUUGGAGAGAUCACACCGCAACAUGAGUUUAGAACGGCAGUUAUGGGAAGUUUUGUUGGAUUAAUUUGAUUACACGCUUUAGGUCUUAUUUUUUCUUUCCACUGAUUUAGCGUUAGGUUAAGUAUUUCACACUUUCGCUUCAGUCUGACAUUUGCUUGGUGUGUGAGGGCACAGAGACGUGUAUGGACCGUGUGUUUGACUGUGUUUGUCUUGUUUGUUUGUUUAUUUAUCUAUAUGGGCGUGGCUGAGCCUUGAGAAACAUCAACAAAGCCAUUGGGCUAUUCUGAGUAAAUUGACCAAUUCAACUUCAGGAUCCUGAAACAAUUUGGCUAUAACCUCUAAUUGAUGAAGGACAUCUUAAGAAUUCAUUAUACAAGGCUUCCUCUCCAGUGUUGCCGGAACUGUUAUAAAACCCAUGCAUGGUUGUAUAUUUUAGUUUGAUCAUUUAUACUCAUUGAAUUAUUGUUGUUUGCUUUGUGUUUUAAUUUCUUUGUAAUUUUUUCUCUGUGACACAGGUGGAGAUGCUGGUGGCGAAGUGGAUCCCACUCAUUUCUUUCUCCCACACACAUUCUUACUCUCUCCCUCUCUCUCUCUGUGUAUGUGCAUGUGUAUGUGUUUGUGUGUCUCUGUGUGUCCAUGUCGUGAUGUCACUGUACCUUUAAUUGCGCUUGCUGUUCGUAACUGUAUGUGUCUGAUGUUGAAGGUAUCAGAGGCUAGGGUCAGUAAGAGCUAGGACAUUUUUGUGCAUAACCUCUAAUCCCUAGGCGAUCGGUCCGGGGAACUUCUGGUCCGGCCGGAGUGUGAAUCUUCCUACCAACUAUCUGCCAAGAUCAAUUGGACUGCACAAGCCGAGAAAGCCUUCAUUGGACCAAAACUACACACACGAAGAGGCUUCGCCUUCGGUGCCAGGCGUCUGGGUCCUGCUAAAAGUCACCAAAAGGAAGUGGACGGAACCAAGGUGGACCGGGCCAUACAGGAUCACGGAGAGGACAUCACACGCUGUCCGGCUGGACGGGAGGAGCCUAACCUGGAAGAGAAGCAGCUGACAUCUGCCUAACCAGAGAAAGGAUCCAAAAAACCAGGAAGAGAAGUAGCUGACUACAGUAGCAUGCCAAGCUGCCACCACAUCCUGCAGGACGAGAAUCAUGACAUCAUCACCCCCUGCAGCUGCCUGGAGCCAGUGAAGGGUCCUCAACAGGGGGAAGAAGUAACCACCCUAUGAACAUUCUACAAGGGUUGUAUUUAACACCCUCAUUUAUUUUACAAGGGUAAUAUUUUACACCCUCCACCUGCUGACCCAAUUAUCCAGAUGCCCUUGUUACUAGCCAAUCCUAAAAUCUAUUUGGGAGGGGAACCCUCUGAUGAAAGUGAUGACUCUCAUGAUGAAGAAGAUGUUAUUAGAGUGUGAGAAUAUUGAGUGAUUUCUGUAACAAUCCCUUAAACUGUUUAUUUCUAUGAGUUUUUUGAUUGUGUUGUUUUUAUUUCUUUUGAUCAUUGAUGUCCUAGGCAUGCACACUCUAUGCCAACAGGUGUUCGCCCCAAAAUUGAGAUAUGACAAAUGGGGGGACAUGGGGGAAUUUUCCCUAUAAACAUAUGAUAAUUAGGGUUUUUCGCCCUCAUAUGGAGUUGCAUGCGAUCCAUACAUGUUGUAACAUGUUCAGUUGAAAGUAUGAUCAUGUUUUUUGUAUUAGUUUACUGCUAGAAAGAUGAGUAAAUGUAAUCUGAUUGGUUGUUUGUAUUGGUAUUUUAAAACUUUGCUUAUUGGAUUCUUUUUGAUGGAAUUUGGUGUUAUUGUUUUGAUUUCUUAUAUCUUUAUUGAACUCUUAAAAGAGUUCAAAAGGGGGAUUGAAAAUAUAUAUCUCUCAUAUAAGCUCUUUCAUAUAUUAUUAUAAGCUCAUUUUAUUAUCUAUGCUAUGGAAACUCGCUCAGAUACUCAAGGCCUUCACACAAAGAUUAAUAGCUGUGUAUCUUCUCCUGCACAAGAGAAGGGAGUGUGCACAUUCCAUCUCCACUCAGUGCCUCUCGGUACCAGUGAAUGUAUCUUCUCCUGUCAUGAAUAUAUCAGGAUGUUCCUGGUAAUCUCAAGGAUGUGUUCUAGUGAUGUAUUAAACUGUCCGCUAACAAGGCUGUUAUUUUCACCUGUCAUGAUCAUUGACGUAUGUACAUGGCAAACUGCGUAUGUUACAUUCCUGUACUCUUCAAUAAAAAUCAGCCGUUUCAGCAGAACGGCGAGAGUCUGUCCGAAGCAUCUGGCAAGAGCAGGCCGCGGGACUUGCUGCAGAGACUCUCCCCCUCAUGAGCGGCGAAACAGUGAA